AGAACGAACGCUGGCGGCAUGCCUAAUACAUGCAAGUCGAACGAACACUUCGGUGUUAGUGGCGCACGGUGCGUAACGCGUGGGAAUCUGCCCUUGGGUUCGGAAUAACAGUUGGAAACGACUGCUAAUACCGGAUGAUAUCGAAAGAUCAAAGAUUUAUCGCCCAGGGAUGAGCCCGCGUAGGAUUAGCUAGUUGGUGAGGUAAAGGCUCACCAAGGCGACGAUCCUUAGCUGGUCUGAGAGGAUGAUCAGCCACACUGGGACUGAGACACGGCCCAGACUCCUACGGGAGGCAGCAGUGGGGAAUCUUGCGCAAUGGGCGAAAGCCUGACGCAGCCAUGCCGCGUGUAUGAUGAAGGUCUUAGGAUUGUAAAAUACUUUCACCGGUGAAGAUAAAUGAACCUGUAGCCGGUAGAAGAAGCCCCGGCUAACUUCGUAGCCCAAACAGCCGAC
rnacentral:rRNA from 1 species